GGAUACGUGUGACAGAUAAGAAGGGCUGGUGGGAUCAGUCCUGGUGGUAGCUCAGGAAGCAGAGCCUGGAGCAUCUCUACUAUGGCCUGGGCUCCACUGCUUCUCACCCUCCUCGCUCACUGCACAGGUUCUUGGGCCAAUUUUAUGCUGACUCAGCCCCACUCUGUGUCGGAGUCUCCGGGGCAGACGGUCACCAUCUCCUGCACCCGCAGCAGUGGCAGCAUUGCCAGCGACUAUGUGCAGUGGUACCAGCAGCGCCCGGGCAGUGCCCCCACCACUGUGAUCUAUGAGGAUAACCGAAGACCCUCUGGGGUCCCUGAUCGGUUCUCUGGCUCCAUCGACAGCUCCUCCAACUCUGCCUCCCUCACCAUCUCUGGACUGAAGACUGAGGACGAGGCUGACUACUACUGUCAGUCUUAUGAUAGCAGCAAUCACACAGUGCUCCAGACCCAUGGGGAAGUGAGACAGAAACUCCCCAGAGCAUCUCUACCUGGGCCAGUCUCAGCCUGUCUCCACCGGAGUGGGUAGCUCUCCCAUCUCUCCUGCCUAAGUGCUUGAGGUGAACUUUGCUUAUGACUUCCUCUUUUCCUUUUCAAA